ACAGCAGCAGCCGCGGUAAUACGGAGGGUGCAAGCGUUAAUCGGAAUUACUGGGCGUAAAGCGCACGCAGGCGGUCUGACAAGUCAGAUGUGAAAUCCCCGGGCUUAACCUGGGAACUGCAUUUGAAACUGUCAGGCUGGAGUCUUGUAGAGGGGGGUAGAAUUCCAGGUGUAGCGGUGAAAUGCGUAGAGAUCUGGAGGAAUACCGGUGGCGAAGGCGGCCCCCUGGACAAAGACUGACGCUCAGGUGCGAAAGCGUGGGGAGCAAACAGGAUUAGAGACCCCUGUAGUCCCUGUCUCUUAUAC
rnacentral:rRNA from 1 species